rnacentral:lncRNA from 1 species
AGCAGCCUCCGACCAUCUCUCCUGGAUUUCAGCGCUAGCCAAUCCAACCCAAUCCAUCCAUCCAACCUGCCGCACCCAACCCACGAGAUCCUCCAUUGCCGCUGGUAGGAUCUCCACAGUUAGCCAUCUCUCUCUCUGCUUCUCUGCCCGUGUUUUUCCUCUCUGAAUUUUCCCUCUAUCUCAUCUCUCCCCAUGAACCAGGAACAGGUUAACGGCCAUGGACAUCAUUGCCGCUCGAAGCCUCCUCCGCCCCGCCUCGUCCUCCCGCCUCGUCCUCCCGCCUGUGAGCCGAACCGCCGUCCCAUGCUCUCUGUUCUUCCUCGUGCUCCUUCCCAUCUCCUUCC